AUUGAACGCUGGCGGCAUGCUUUACACAUGCAAGUCGAACGGCAGCGCGGGCUUCGGCCUGGCGGCGAGUGGCGAACGGGUGAGUAAUGCAUCGGAACGUGCCCAGUAGUGGGGGAUAGCCCGGCGAAAGCCGGAUUAAUACCGCAUACGACCUGAGGGUGAAAGCGGGGGACCGAAAGGCCUCGCGCUAUUGGAGCGGCCGAUGUCGGAUUAGCUAGUUGGUGGGGUAAAGGCUUACCAAGGCGACGAUCCGUAGCUGGUCUGAGAGGACGACCAGCCACACUGGGACUGAGAUACGGCCCAGACUCCUACGGGAGGCAGCAGUGGGGAAUUUUGGACAAUGGGGGCAACCCUGAUCCAGCCAUGCCGCGUGCGGGAAGAAGGCCUUCGGGUUGUAAACCGCUUUUGUUCGGGAAGAAAUCCUCUGGGCUAAUACCCCGGGGGGAUGACGGUACCGGAAGAAUAAGCACCGGCUAACUACGUG
rnacentral:rRNA from 1 species